UAGUGAGUCGUAAGUGAAAGUAAUUGCAGC
rnacentral:piRNA from 1 species